rnacentral:rRNA from 1 species
UACAGAGGUCCCAAGCGUUGUUCGGAUUUACUGGGCGUAAAGGGAGCGUAGGUGGCAUUCUAAGUCUGAUGUGAAAGCUCUGAGCUUAACUCAGAAAUGGCAUUAGAAACUAGUUUGCUUGAGGAUUGGAGGGGAGAUUGGAAUUCUUGGUGUAGCAGUGAAAUGCGUAGAUAUCAAGAGGAACACCAGUGGCGAAGGCGAAUCUCUGGACAAUUCCUGACACUGAUGCUCGAAAGCUAGGGGAGCAAACGGG